GGAAAAAGAGAGGGCUACGGGAAAAAAGAGAAGGAGAGGAGGAAAAAGAGUCUUGCAUGCCAUUAGAAACCUGAAAGAAUUCAUCCAAAUCAACCCAUUCCCCCAAAUUCAUGUCUAGCCAAUUUAUAAAAGAUGAGAUGGAAUUAGAUGGACCUCAUGUCCAAUUUAGACUAGCCUGAAAUGCAUUUUGGGGUUUCCCCUAACCAGACCCGAUUAUUAAAAAAUUUCCCCUAACCAGACCCGAUUAUUAAAAAAUUUAGCGUGUUUGGCUAGGAUUUGUAUCGCUACGUUUGUGUUUCUAUUAGAAAAACAAGCCAUAGUUCCUCUAAGAAUUUUCAUAUUCUUCUUAGUGUUGUUGAUAAUCAUACUAGUGAUAAUACAAUGAUUCUCUUCCUCCAUAAUCAUAUUGGCCAUGCUUUUGUUUUCUGUCUCAAAAAGAACUUCCAUGAAAUAGCAAUCUAAAGCCAAGUCCAUUUCUUUCUUCAAAGCCAUUGCUUAUGCCUCUUUAGGGUUUUCUUCACCGUCUAUUAUUUAAGUGUUCAAUACCAUUAUUUCUCCUCUGUAGUUCCGAAAAAUUUCUCAUAGCCCUCAUUUUCCUUUUAGAUCUAAGCAAGCACCCAUGUUGCAUUUGAUCCAUCAUUUCUCUAGAGGUUUCCAUAUGUGAUGAUUAUUAUCCUUAUCCGUCAACUUUAGUCUCUAUGGUGAGAAUUAGGGUUCUCUAAGGAGUUGAUGUCCCCUUGAUUUGUGCUUCUACCUUUAUUCUAGGUUUUGGUAAAAGUCGAUUUCUUGUUUGGUGGAGGAUGGCACACGGUUGGUGUCAUAGCUAGUUCCAAUGUGUUAAGGUGAAGGAUUUGUUGGAGAGUAGUGCCUUUGAAUGGGGUUUGGUUUAAUUAAUAAAUUAGUGUUCUCUAUGGGAGUGGGAUGGGGAAAGGAUAGGAAAAAGGCGAGAGAAAGGCCAAGGAUGUAGAAAAAAGGGAUGAAUAAAUUAUAAGAAAAAAGGAAAACCUAUGGAUGAGAGAACACACACGGUGGAGAGAACGGAAGGAAAAAUCAAGAAGUCAUAAAGGGAAACUUAGGUAGGCGAACAUAAAGGCGGAGAAGCAGAGAGAAGAGUAAGGGCUACUAGAAUCAUGAUUCCAUAAUAGAACUGAGAUUUUUCUUUUGAUGAAUCUUGAAAAAUUCCAUGGAAAUAUUGGAGAGAUCUUGGAGCUUUUUCAGUUGAGGCAGUGUGAAAAAUAUUGUCUUUUAAUAUAUUAGAAUCCACUUAGUAGGAAUGCUUAUGUAUCAGACUUGAUUCCUAUGGUAAUGUUGCUUCAGCCUAA